UACGUAGGGGGCAAGCGUUGUCCGGAUUUAUUGGGCGUAAAGAGCGUGUAGGCGGCCUUACAGGUCAGCUGUGAAAACUCGAGGCUCAACCUCGAGACGUCGGUUGAAACCGUAAGGCUAGAGUCCGGAAGAGGAGAGUGGAAUUCCCGGUGUAGCGGGUGAAAUGCGCAGAUAUCGGGAAGAACACCCGUGGCGAAGGCGGCUCUCUGGGACGGUACU
rnacentral:rRNA from 1 species